GGGGAUAUGGCGAAAUCGGCAGACGCAACGGACUUAAAAUCCGUUGAGAGCAAUCUCGUGUGGGUUCAAGUCCCACUGUCCCCACCA
rnacentral:tRNA from 1 species